GGGCCCGCACAAGCGGAGGAACAUGUGGUUUAAUUCGAUGAUACGCGAGGAACCUUACCUGGGCUUAAAUGGGGAGUGACAGCUGCUGAAAGGUGGUUUUCUUCGGACACUCUCCAAGGUGCUGCAUGGUUGUCGUCAGCUCGUGCCGUGAGGUGUCGGGUUAAGUCCCAUAACGAGCGCAACCCUUACUGUUAGUUGCCAGCGGGUAAUGCCGGGGACUCUAGCGGGACUGCCACCGUAAGGUGAGAGGAAGGUGGGGAUGACGUCAAAUCAGCACGGCCCUUAUGUCCAGGGCUACACACGUGUUACAAUGGCCGGUACAAAGGGCAGCUACACCGCGAGGUGAUGCUAAUCUCCAAAGCCGGUCCCAGUUCGGAUCGAAGUCUGCAACCCGACUUCGUGAAGUUGGAUUCGCUAGUAAUCGCGCAUCAGCCAUGGCGCGGUGAAUACGUUCCCGGGCCUU
rnacentral:rRNA from 1 species